UAUACGACCGUACCGCAAACCGACACUGGUGCGCGAGAUGAGUAUUCUAAGGCGCUUGAGAGAACUCAGGAGAAGGAACUCGGCAAAUUGACACCGUAACUUCGGAAGAAGGUGUGCCCUAUUAGUGUGUAGUGAACAACGAAGCAUGAAUGGGUUGCAAAAAAUCGGUGGCUGCGACUGUUUAUUAAAAACACAGCACUCUGCGAACACAAAAGUGGACGUAUAGGGUGUGACGCCUGCCCGGUGCUGGAAGAUUAAAUGAUGGGGUGCAAGCUCUUGAUUGAAGUCUCAGUAAACGGCGGCCGUAACAAUAACGGUCCUAAGGUAGCGAAAUUCCUUGUCGGGUAAGUUCCGACCUGCACGAAUGGCGUAACGAUGGCCACACUGUCUCCUCCUGAGACUCAGCGAAGUUGAAAUGUUUGUGAUGAUGCAAUCUCCCCGCGGAAAGACGGAAAGACCCCAUGAACCUUUACUGUAGCUUUGUAUUGGACUUUGAACAGAUCUGUGUAGGAUAGGUGGGAGGCUUUGAAGCAGGGUCGCUAGAUCUUGUGGAGCCAACGUUGAAAUACCACCCUGGUGUGUUUGAGGUUCUAACCUAGGUCCAUUAUCUGGAUCGGGGACAGUGCAUGGUAGGCAGUUUGACUGGGGCGGUCUCCUCCCAAAGCGUAACGGAGGAGUUCGAAGGUACGCUAGUUACGGUCGGACAUCGUGACGAUAGUGCAAUGGCAUAAGCGUGCUUAACUGCGAGACUGACAAGUCGAGCAGAUGCGAAAGCAGGACAUAGUGAUCCGGUGGUUCUGUAUGGAAGGGCCAUCGCUCAACGGAUAAAAGGUACUCUGGGGAUAACAGGCUGAUACCGCCCAAGAGUUCAUAUCGACGGCGGUGUUUGGCACCUCGAUGUCGGCUCAUCUCAUCCUGGGGCUGUAGCCGGUCCCAAGGGUAUGGCUGUUCGCCAUUUAAAGAGGUACGUGAGCUGGGUUUAAAACGUCGUGAGACAGUUUGGUCCCUAUCUUCCGUGGGCGCUGCAGAUUUGAGGAAGCCUGCUCCUAGUACGAGAGGACCGGAGUGGACACACUUCUGGUGUAUCGGUUGUCACGCCAGUGGCAUUGCCGAGUAGCUAAGUGUGGAAGAGAUGACCGCUGAAAGCAUCUAAGCGGGAAACUCGUUUCAAGAUGAGAUCUGCCGGGGCCUUGAGCCCCCUAAAGAGUCGUUCAAGACCAGGACGUUGAUAGGUCAGGUGUGGAAGCG
rnacentral:rRNA from 1 species